rnacentral:rRNA from 1 species
UACGGGGGGGGGCAAGCGUUGUUCGGAAUUACUGGGCGUAAAGGGCUCGUAGGCGGCCAACUAAGUCACACGUGAAAUCCCUCGGCUCAACCGGGGAACUGCGUGUGAGACUGGAUGGCUUGAGUUUGGGAGAGGAAUGCGGAAUUCCAGGUGUAGCGGUGAAAUGCGUAGAUAUCUGGAGGAACACCGGUGGCGAAGGCGGCAUUCUGGACCAACACUGACGCUGAGGAGCGAAAGCCAGGGGAGCAAACGGG